CUUGCGCGAGGGGGCCGGGAACCUCAGCUGUCACCUCUCCGACUGGAAAACCGGGAAGUGUCCCGCAGAGGAAAGACCGGAGAGAACGAGAUCACUAGGACGGUGGCAGAAGAUGUUUAAUAACCAAAACGGUUUUUUUAAAAAAAUACAGCCCCUGGAAAGGCGGUGGCGGAGUGCCAGGAUGAGUACAAAAGAUUAGCACGUGGAUGUUACAGCUACCAAAGGACAUAAAAGGCAGUAAGAAGUGAGGCUAAAAUACUUUGAGGAAGGAAAAUGUAAGACCUUUUUUCCAUUGUGGGUCUAUGGCAGUUCAUGAUGACCUCCCGUACAGAUGCAGGACAUGCAGUUUCAGGAGGAAGCAGCCAGCCAGAAGCCACACCUGGAGGUGGAGAGCCUGUACCUUGAGAAGAUGUAGCUGUCCGUUCUUUUGUGUGAGCAGAGAUGACACUGGCAGGAAGCACCACAGAGAAGCUAAACUCAUAUGUAGCAGGGUCAUGGAUGCUGAGCAUCUUGAGCAUGGCUUGUGAAUCCUUAAAAGUGUCCAGCGAGGCAUCAGAGGACUCAGCGAAAAGUUUAGUGCCCUCAAAAGGCAGAUCUUCAACUGUGGACUGCAGCUCGCAGAGAGCUGCGUCCAUGAGGCCCAUUUCAUCACCACUGCCAAAGAGAUGGAUCUAGCCGUCAUGUUGGCCAAGUCUAAUGUGGCCUUUAGGGCUGUUCGGGAGACUAGAGCACUCUAAUUGAUAUUUGAUUUAAAUUGCUCUCUUUUGUUGUCUGGGAGGAAUUCAAUAAAGGUUGUCUACUGGUCAAAAAUGUUGUGAGUGUAUUUCACAAGAAGAACUGUAUAAGAUUUUGAGCUGAAGGCUGGCUGAAGAGUACGCCUUCCUCCCAAACAAAUCCAAUCUCUUCCCGUCCUUGUCAUAAGGUGUUGUGCAGGCUGUUUGUUGCCGACCCCACCUGUUACCAGCAUCCACCACCAGAGAAUUUGUAGUAGGGUGGGAGAAUAAGAAGUCUGCCCCUUUGGGGGGGCUAUGUAAUACUUUUUGUCUGACCUCUUCCAUGUUGCGGAUAUUGUUGCAAGCAUCUGCUAGAUGGUUUUUGCUGGAUCCAUCAUAGGGAAUGCAAGCCUGGCAUAAGGAGAGGCAUGAAGUAUAUUUGUCAGCUUAUGCUGAUUCUCUGGCACGGCUGAUAAUGGGAUUUCCAGGGAGUGUGCCAUUCUUUUGAAGAGCUCUUGGAAUGACUUGAAAUCAUCCCCGCAGUUGGAGGUAGGGGCAUGAUUGUGUCAUCAGAUGAUGAAGAUGACAGGUAAGUGGAUGGAGGAGAGUCAGGUGUUUGCUCCUCACCCAUUACAUCUUCUGCCUUCUCCUCUCCCUCAGAGAGAGAUUGGUCAGGUGGUGGGUGCCUGGGACCUGGGUGCUGGGAAAGGUUGCUGUGGCUGUUGUGGUUGCUGUGUCUGGUAUGCAGCCCAUGGGUCCCAGUACAGCUAGCUGGAAGGGAUUGGUGAUAGCAGCCACUGCGAUGGUUUCCACUGGAGAGGCUGUUUGCUCGGCUUAGGAGAACAAUGUCUUGGAGUAUGUAUCUCCAGAGGAUUGUCAUCACUGUUGUCGCUGGACAAUGGUAGAGCUGAUCCCGCAAGGGUAAACUAAAAUGGGAUGUAUUUGGGGUGCUGUUGGUGCUGAACAACAGCUUCCCGAGCACCGAGACCA